ACGCCCCGUGGUGAAGAUCGCUGUUACAUCGUCUGUGAAACGAGAGGUCGCGGGUUCGAAUCCCGCCUGGUGUC
rnacentral:tRNA from 1 species